rnacentral:rRNA from 1 species
AUUGAACGCUGGCGGAAUGCUUUACACAUGCAAGUCGAACGGUAGAGGGGGCAACCCCUCGAGAGUGGCGAACGGGUGAGUAAUAUAUCGGAACGUGCCCAGUCGUGGGGGAUAACGUAGCGAAAGUUACGCUAAUACCGCAUACGAUCUAAGGAUGAAAGCGGGGGAUCGCAAGACCUCGCGCGAUUGGAGCGGCCGAUAUCAGAUUAGGUAGUUGGUGGGGGAAAGGCUCACCAAGCCAACGAUCUGUAGCUGGUCUGAGAGGACGACCAGCCACACUGGAACGUGGACACGGUCCAGACUCCUACGGGAGGCAGCAGUGGGGAAGUGUGGACAAUGGAAGCAAGUCUGAUCCAGCCAUUCCGCGUGCAGGAUGAAGGCCCUCGGGUUGUAAACUGCUUUUGUACGGAACGAAAAGGUCUCUCUUAAUACGGGGGGCUCAUGACGGUACCGUAAGAAUAAGCACCGGCUAACUACGUGCCAGCAGCCGCGGUAA